UUAUCGUUUGGAUUCAUUUUCUCCAAUACCCGUUGGCAGCAAUGAAAGGGGAAUUAGUGUUUGCAUUUUUUCUUCUAAGUACCUGGAUACCAGGGACAUAUGGUCUUACAGGACAUGUUUGUACCGUCAUCCAAUACUACCAGUACUGGACAACUACAAGAACAGGUCUAUGGGGAUGGAGUAGAAGGUCGGUAACCAGGCUGGGAAGCACUUAUGUGCAGGUCUGCUGUUUUGGAUGGCAGGAUAAUGGACGUGGAGAAUGUGUCAUACCAAAAUGCCGCACGCCUUGCUAUAAUGGCGGCACGUGCAUAGCUCCGGACACGUGCAAGUGUCCGCCGUCACACGAUGGGACCAAUUGUGCAACAUUGCUGUGUUCACACAAGAAGCCAUGUUUUCCUGGUGUCUGUGGUUACCCUGAAAACAACUGUCAGUGUUAUAAAGGCUGGGAAGGACCGACGUGUCUUACAUUUUCCACCGGUCAGAAUUUGCCAACAAUGCUGUCCUGCGGUGUUACACUGGCUAACAUACGGCGUACAGACCUGAAAGAACUGUUCUAUUUUAGUAUACCAUGUUCAAAUGAGACCGCAAGUGACAUCGUAUGGUGCAACCAGCAGAAUUUCAACUUCGCACGAUUUUCCAUCGAUUCAUUGUACAUUCCUCUACAUGCAUAUUUCCCGUCAGAAAAAUAUAUCCACUCCAGUAAUUUCGGGAUAGUCCACAGCGAAGCACACGUUCUACACACUAAGGUCAACAAAAACGGUGGACCGAACCGUAUUGUUGCACUUGAUAACAAAUAUAACUGCACCGAAAUAUCUGAAAGAAGACCGUCAAACAACGCCAACUGUGUGAUGACAGAAAAUGACUACAUAUACAGUUUGGAGCAUGGCGAUGAAUUUACAGUAAGAUUUAGUACAAGAAGCGGCGGCUACAGACAGCUCUAUGACAUAGACUACAACAGAAUUUCUUCGUUGGAAACCUAUAACGGUCAUGUUGACGCAAAGUCAGUAGAGUUCAAAUUUGACUUCAUAGCUCCAUUACACUGCUCGGAACAAGAGUCGCAUAUAAGAAUGCCUGAUCUUGAGCAAGUAAUGGCGAUGAAGGAAGGAGAUGGUGGUAUCUACGUAACAAGCGCUAUCAAGGAGACAGGCUAUAUGUGGCAGACCUCACAAAAUGACACCAAAACUAACCUUGUAUUUAAGUGGGCCUCCCACUUUGUCAACAAAGUUCACGCAGAUGGAAAACUAUUAAAUUCAAUUUUACCAUAUCCGACUCAGUUCAAAGCGCUUGAAGACGACGGAAUUCUCCGUAGCAAAAAAUACGUCUCCAUUGACGAUAAUCAUGGACUGCGGACUCUAGCGGCGAUUCCGAACAAGAACGGCAUUAUCAAGUUCGACGUUAAGCGCGUAUAUACAGAUGAUAAAAGGGAACCGACAUCGGGUUGGACAGAAAUACCGUUGACAGAAAAUUAUAACUUUUCCGAAAUCAUUGCUGAUGGAAGCCACGUAAGACUUUGGGUUCGAGCCACGGAUAUCAUGAAUAACACUUUAGCCGAUUAUACCGAGGUGCACAUUGACAACUCGCCUCCUAGGGUAUCAAAUAGCGAGAUACAACAUAAUGCACUCAAUGGAUCAUUUCCUUAUACCACUAGGUUGACAUUUGACGCAUCAGAUGACGGUAGCGGUGUCCACAAAAUUGCAGUCGACUUGUUUGUUGCAGAUUACCCGAACUUUAAACGGACGGAAAUUUUCCAGGCAAAUCGGAAAAAUGAAUCUGGCGCAUGCGCAAGUGACCCUGAAUGCCGAUGCAUCUUGGAUACAUGUUUUCGACUGAAACAGUCAGUCGAUAUAGAUAACUGCUGGUAUUUAGUGCCAAAAGAAUAUCUUAAUAGUACAGGAGGAAUACAGGUCACUGUAUACAACCAAGCUCUUCUUACACAGGCAUUUAAUUUUUCGAUAAAAAGAUUGAGUAUCUUGCAAGGAUUAGAAGAAUAUUCUGGGCCAACCAACAUCAGAGUCGAAGAAAAUCUCGCUAGCGGAGUAAGACUUGUGUGGGAUCUCCCGGACAAACCGUCUUGCUAUGGACGUGUUGACAUUGUACUGGUCAUAAACAUUGGCAAUGGACAAAUCAGAAAAAUUCUGGUCAACAGUGAGGAAAACUCGGUGGAUGUUCUUGGUCUUGACCCGGAUAAGGAAUACAGCGUUUCGUUGAACCUUGGAUUUCAUGGAACUGAACUUGCAGAGCUCCCGUAUUCAUUUAGAACAGCUGCUCAAGAGAAUCAUCUUGACGGUGGAAUAAUCGCAGGCGUUGUUAUCGCUGUAUUGGUUCUUAUUGGAGCCAUGUUAGCUGUGUUUGUGUUGUUACUCCGGAGAGGUUAUAUGCAACCGGUCAGAAGACGAUUGGACGCUAUGACAGUUCGAUACAGGAAGUCUCGGUUUACUAGACCUCGAUCGCAUGCGAACCUUAAGGAACGGUCAUAUAGCAACUCCAUGUACAUAUACGGAGAUAUGGACUUCAAAGACGUUGAUUCUUGGCAACUCAGCAGGAAUGAUGUUGUACUUGAGAGCCUAUUAGCAUCCGGAUCUUUCGCUGAUAUAUACCUGGCCAGCGUUCAGAACCGAAGAAACCAAAUGAUCGCAAAAACGCUUAAACAGGGUUACACAAGCCAAGAUGCGUUCUUAAUGAAAGCUAAAAUCAACUUCUACUCCAUGGAAGUUGGCGAGCACGAGAAUGUCAUCUCCUUUGUUGGCGCUGUGACUGAAAAUACUGACAUGGGUCCAUUCAUCCUGUUCGAGUAUUGCAGCAAGGGUCAGUUGAAUGAUCACUUGUCUACCCUGCGUAGCAACGUGACUGUACAAGUUCACGAACAGUUGCUACAUUUUUGUUUGCAAGUGGCUCGUGGAAUGGAUUUUCUAGCUGCAAAAAAGAUUGUCCACCGGCGUCUAGCAGCUCGUAACGUUCUUCUGGACUCGAACAUUACGGCCAAGAUUUCUGGCUUUGGACCGAUUGCUGGAGAUGGGGUAGAGGACGGCAUUGAUAGGAGACGUGAGAGAAUUCCAAUCAAGUGGAUGGCACCGGAAUGUUUGAAAUCAACAAAAGAUGCAACAGAUGAAAAGCGAUAUCUGGUCGUAUGGCGUGGUCCUCUGAGAGAUAUUUUCACUGGACUGGCGAUCUCUUUGUCGUCGUUCCUCGAUUCUCCCGUACGGCUAGACCGGUCUAGUGACAUAUGACGAUGAAGUUAAAGAUCCUCUCAAAAAUACGCGCAGCACCAUUCGAAGACAUUCGAGGGAAGGAGAUACCUGGUCGAUUAAAGAGCGGUUACCGUCUGCAAAAGCCAGAGCAGUGUGAUGAAAAAUGGUAUGGUAUGAUGACUCGCUGCUGGAAGGUGAAAUCCGAAGACCGACCCACGUUCAAGGACAUACUGGCGGAGCUCGACGAGGUCUUUGUGGCGGCACCGGUCGAUGACUACUAUUAUUACAAACGAUAGACACGACUAUUUCUAAAGUUCGUAAGAUAAAAAGAAUUGAUUUUGGAUGGUAGAAUUAAGUUGUUAAAUUAUUUGCCAAAUACAAUAAUAAAAUUCACGCCUUUUUAUAUGAAACGAUUUGUGACAAUUGACGAAGAAACUUUGAUUGUGUCUCAGAUUAUUACAUUGUUUUAUUUUCUUUCUUUAAUCUAUGUCUUUUUAUUUAGCAUUGUGUCAAAAUGCGAUUUAGUCCUUUUGAUACGCCACAUGUGUCAUUAAUACACGUUAUAACUAAAAAAUAAAAAAAGUUUCAUAAUUGAUAUAUUUUAGGCAUUGUUCUCCUUAAUAUUUUUCUUAUAAGAAUAAACGAUGUCUAAUUUUCUUUCGAGUGUACGAACAAGAUUUUUUAAAAUGAAAUUGAAGUUUAAUUAAUGUUAUAUGGCGUUUUAAGUCUGCUCGAUUAAAUUGUUCAGGUUUGGCGGUAAUCAGUCAUUGAAAUAUCAGUCGCACUAAAAAUACGAAUAUUUUAUUAUGAACAUAUACACUAUCAAGCUUCUUGCAUAAGCAAAUAAGAAUUUAAGACCUAAUUAGUAAUUUUUUUUGAUUAAAUUAAACAUUUAUUUGUGAGUACCAUAUAUUUUGAUAUAAAGGAUUUGCUUGAUUGUUAUUCACAAGUGACAUGUACAUUACAUGCACAUUAAAAAGUUUGAUUUACA